UCGAGGAUCUUCGUCAAUGGUCGAAAGACUGAACGAGCGACGCCGCGUGCGCGAUGAAGGCCUUCGGGUUGUAAAGCGCGAAAGUAGGGACGAAAGUCGAAAGAUUUGACCGAUCUACAGUAAGCUCGGGCUAAGUUCGUGCCAGCAGCCGCGGUAAGACGAACCGAGCAAACGUUAUUCGGAAUCACUGGGCUUAAAGGGCGCGUAGGCGGGUAUUCAAGUCUGUGGUGAAAUCCGGCAGCUUAACUGU
rnacentral:rRNA from 1 species